rnacentral:tRNA from 1 species
GCCUGGCUGGCUCAGUCAGUAGAGCAUGUGACUCUUGAUCUUGGGCUUGUAGGUUCAAGCCCAUGUUGGGUA